CCUACGGGCGGCAGCAGUAGGGAAUAUUGCUCAAUGGGGGAAACCCUGAAGCAGCAACGCCGCGUGGAGGAUGAAGGUUUUAUGAUUGUAAACUCCUUUUUUUAGAGAAGAUUAUGACGGUAUCUAACGAAUAAGCACCGGCUAACUCCGUGCCAGCAGCCGCGGUGAUACGGCGGGUGCAAGCGUUACUCGGAAUCACUGGGCGUAAAGAGGGCGUAGGCGGGUUAAUAAGUCAGAUGUGAAAUCCUGUAGCUUAACUACAGAACUGCAUUUGAAACUGUUACUCUGGAGUGUGGGAGAGGUAGGUGGAAUGCGUGGUGUAGGGGUAAAAUCCGUAGAGAUCAAGCGGAAUACUCAUUGCGAAGGCGACCUGCUGGAACAUUACUGACGCUGAUGCACGAAAGCGUGGGGAGCAAACAGGAUUAGAUACCCGUGUAGUC
rnacentral:rRNA from 1 species